AUUGAACGCUGGCGGCAUGCUUUACACAUGCAAGUCGGACGAGUGGCGAACGGGUGAGUAACGAAUCGGAACGUACCGAGUAAGGGGGGAUAACUGUCCGAAAGGACAGCUAAGACCGCAUAUUCUUAGAGCGGCAGAUGUCUGAUUAGCUGGUUGGCGGGGUAAAGGCCCACCAAGGCGACGAUCAGUAGCGGGUCGUAGAGGAUGAUUCGCCACACUGGGACUGGUACACGUGCCAGAUUCCUUCUGGAGGCAGCAGUGGGGAAUUUGGGACAAUGGGCGCAAGCCCGAUCCGGCCAUGCCGCGUGUCUGAAGAAGGCCUUCGGGUUGUAAAGGACUUUUGUCAGGGAAGCGGUACCUGAAGAAUAAGCACCGGCUAACUACGUGCCAGCAGCCGCUGUAAUUCC
rnacentral:rRNA from 1 species